rnacentral:rRNA from 1 species
UACGUAGGUGGCAAGCGUUGUCCGGAAUUAUUGGGCGUAAAGCGCGCGCAGGCGGUCCCUUAAGUCUGAUGUGAAAGCCCACGGCUCAACCGUGGAGGGUCAUUGGAAACUGGGGGACUUGAGUACAGAAGAGGAAAGCGGAAUUCCACGUGUAGCGGUGAAAUGCGUAGAGAUGUGGAGGAACACCAGUGGCGAAGGCGGCCAACUGGACCAUUACUGACGCUGAGGCGCGAAAGCGUGGGGAGCAAACAGG